ACACAAUACAAAAAGAUGAGACGUGGAUCUGUAUAUGAGAAAUUAAU
rnacentral:guide_RNA from 1 species